CCUACGGGAGGCAGCAGUGAGGAAUAUUGGUCAAUGGGCGGGAGCCUGAACCAGCCAAGUCGCGUGAAGGAAGAAGGUACUUAGUAUUGUAAACUUCUUUUGUCGGGGAACAAAGGCGGAGACGCGUCUCCUGAUGAGUGUACCCGACGAAAAAGCAUCGGCUAACUCCGUGCCAGCAGCCGCGGUAAUACGGAGGCUGCGAGCGUUAUCCGGAUUUAUUGGGGUUAGAGGGUGCGCAGGCGGGAGCUCAAGUCAGCGGUAAAAGGUCGGGGCUCAACCCGGGACGGCCGUUGAAACUGGGGAUCUUGAGUGGGCGAGAAGUAGGCGGAAUGCGUGGUGUAGCGGUGAAAUGCAUAGAUAUCACGCAGAACUCCGAUUGCGAAGGCAGCAUACCGGAGCCCGACUGACGCUGAGGCACGAAAGCGUGGGGAUCGAACAGGAUUAGAUACCCUUGUAGUC
rnacentral:rRNA from 1 species